rnacentral:misc_RNA from 1 species
CGUAAACCCCGCGAGCCACAAGUUCUCGAAUCCUUCUACCCCGUCGUCGCCCUUGUCUUCAUUCUAGUUGCCUGUGUCGAGCUCUGUGACGCCGCCACAGUCGUCGAUGUCUACCGUCUCAUUCACUACGAUAUCUCUGGUGUUCCCUUUGGAUCCCGCGCCGCCACACUCAAUCACCAUGCUUCCUCUCUUCAUUUUCCCUCUGCUGCUG